rnacentral:rRNA from 1 species
UGCCAGUGAUAAACUGGAGGAAGGUGGGGAUGACGUCAAGUCAUCAUGGCCCUUACGAGUAGGGCUACACACGUGCUACAAUGGCAUAUACAAAGAGAAGCGACCUCGCGAGAGCAAGCGGACCUCAUAAAGUAUGUCGUAGUCCGGAUUGGAGUCUGCAACUCGACUCCAUGAAGUCGGAAUCGCUAGUAAUCGUGGAUCAGAAUGCCACGGUGAAUACGUUCCCGGGCCUUGUACACACCGCCCGUCACACCAUGGGAGUGGGUUGCAAAAGAAGUAGGUAGCUUAACCUUCGGGAGGGCGCUUACCACUUUGUGAUUCAUGACUGGGGUGAAGUCGUAACAAGGUAACCGUAGGGGAACCUGCGGUUGGAUCACCUCCUUACCU